rnacentral:rRNA from 1 species
UAGGGAAUCUUCGGCAAUGGGGGGAACCCUGACCGAGCAACGCCGCGUGAGUGAAGAAGGUUUUCGGAUCGUAAAGCUCUGUUGUUAAGGAAGAACGAGUGUGAGAAUGGAAAGUUCAUACUGUGACGGUACUUAACCAGAAAGGGACGGCUAACUACGUGCCAGCAGCCGCGGUAAUACGUAGGUCCCGAGCGUUGUCCGGAUUUAUUGGGCGUAAAGCGAGCGCAGGCGGUUAGAUAAGUCUGAAGUUAAAGGCAGUGGCUCAACCAUUGUAGGCUUUGGAAACUGUUUAACUUGAGUGCAGAAGGGGAGAGUGGAAUUCCAUGUGUAGCGGUGAACUGCGUAGAUAUAUGGAGGAGCACCGGUGGCGAAAGCGGCUCUCUGGUCUGUAACUGACGCUGAGGCUCGAAAGCGUGGGGAGCGAACAGG